rnacentral:rRNA from 1 species
CCUACGGGAGGCAGCAGUGAGGAAUAUUGGUCAAUGGACGAGAGUCUGAACCAGCCAAGUAGCGUGAAGGAUGACUGCCCUAUGGGUUGUAAACUUCUUUUAUAUGGGAAUAAAAUGUUCCACGUGUGGGAUUUUGUAUGUACCAUAUGAAUAAGGAUCGGCUAACUCCGUGCCAGCAGCCGCGGUAAUACGGAGGAUACGAGCGUUAUCCGGAUUUAUUGGGUUUAAAGGGAGCGUAGGUGGAUUGUUAAGUCAGUUGUGAAAGUUUGCGGCUCAACCGUAAAAUUGCAGUUGAAACUGGCAGUCUUGAGUACAGGAGAGGUGGGCGGAAUUCGUGGUGUAGCGGUGAAAUGCUUAGAUAUCACGAAGAACUCCGAUUGCGAAGGCAGUUCACUGGACUGCAACUGACACUGAGGCUCGAAAGUGUGGGUAUCAAACAGGAUUAGAUACCCCAGUAGUC